UCAUUAUAGAUGCUUGUGAGCCACCAUGUGGUUGCUGGUACUUGAACUCGGGUCCUCUGAAAGAGCAGCCAGUGCUCUUAACCUCUGAGUCAUCUCUCCAGCCCCCCCCCCACCCCAACUCAGUUCUGUAGAAGGGGAAUCAGGAACAAAGAUAGGGCAGUAGAUGCCCCAAGGUCAUAUUAACUCAGGGUCCAAAAUGGCUGUUUGAGUGCCAGCUACUGCACCCAUACUCCAUCUGGCAGGAAAGAAUAGUGUAUCAGGACACCAUCAUUCCCAGAAAUCUGGAAGUAUCCCUUUACCUGAUUCAUUCUUCUCUGCUUAUGACGGAAACUGUCGUCUCCCUAGAAAUCUCUUCUAGCUGUACUCAAGGAUGCCUAGUGUAAACCUUGUCCAGUCUCCCUUGCAGCUAGGUGUGGCCUUGUGACCAAGUUCUACCCAAUGGGCAAUAAGAGGAAGUACAGACAUCUUUGAUUGCCCAGGGUUGGUCUAUGAGAGUACUGUGUGCCAAACAGCUGAAACAGCUUAGGUAAGGCAGACCAGGUUCAAUUCAUUCACAACAAUUUCAACUCUAAUGAUGGGUUUGCUGGUGUGUGACCUUACUCUUGGUGGAGGAGCAGCCCCACUUUGUCUUUAAAGUUUAGGUGCGUCCUUCUGCCCUCACUUCCUGUUUUCAGGUGGAGUGUGGGUGUGAUGGCUGGCACAAAGCAUCCACUUUGGACUCUAGGUCGACACACUCAGAGUAGUGAGGCAACAGACUCAAGGAACUUGGCCCCAGUUUCAAGGAGCUGUUCCUAAUAGUCCCCCCCCCCUCUCUCAAGAAGGGAGAAACAAAGUUCAAUUUUGGAUUUGAUUAUAAAUUCCUUGCAGGCAAGAUGGUGUCUCUCCCCCCCCCCCCCUGCCGUCCCCAGGGUCAGCCAGGGUCUUGAACAUCUUGGAAGCCAGAAAAGCAGCCAGCAAAGAAGUGAGGCAUGAGGACCUCAAGAAGUGAUGGACAUUACCUACCAUUAUUCACAUAAAGACCCAGUUGUCCCACACACAUACCUGUGUGACUUUGGGCAAAUGACCAAAGCCUCUUUUCACUGUGUGUAUAACAGGGAGGUACCUAGGCUUACCUGGUGAUCUUGGGCAGGGUGACCAGCUUUCCUUCCUUGAUGGCAGCAUGGAAGCUGUGGGCGCCAAAGGUCUCCAUGGCAAUGAUGGGCACAUCCUCCCAGCCCACCUCUUGCAGCCCCUGGACUACUCCGCACAUCAGGCCCCCGCCGCCCACUGAUAGCACAAUGGCUCCAGGCUUGGCACUCAGCGUUUCCUUCAGUUCCUUCACGAUGGAAGUAUGGCCUUCCCUGGGCAGGAGAAGGGUGGCAGGUCAGGGAUGGACUUCCUGAAGAUACAAUGGAUGGCUGAAGAUGCCAGAUAAGUCACCCCCAGAUGAGCUGAUCUCCCCAACUCUGUGUCUGGAGACACCCCACCCCCCACCCCCAUUGCUGAUGUGUGCAUCUGGGUCUUUGUGUGUUCUCUCCUGCAUAAAUUGGGUGUGCAGCAUGGAGAAUCAGCAGGCAUUACACAUUAUGGCAGAGCCUUGGCCAGUUGGAUGGCCUCAUCCAACAUCUGCAGGGCAAUAGGAGCAGAAAGAGAAUGAAAUGACGAGGACUCUGCCCAGAUGUCAGGAGCCCUCUCAGCCCUGCCACCUGCCAUCUGCCGGUCCGCACUCACCUCUCCCACCACUUCAACUGUGGCGCCUUCACUCUUGAGCCGCUCGAUGGUGAGGGCAGGUGUGGUGCUGGGUACGACGAUAGUGGCUGGGAUGCCCAGCCUUCUGGCAGCAUAAGCAGUUGCCAUGCCCGCGUUGCCCGCUGUCAGGGUGGCAAUGGAGAGGGCGUCGGUAAGGAGGGUCUGCGGCCCCAGGUGGGGCGGAUCAUUCCCUUCCUGUCAGGCUCUGGACUCCCCUCUCCUCCCAAGUGACCUCUGCCUCAUCCUGGAACCCCAAAUCUGGACUUCUAUGAAUGGGCUUACUGCUGCAGAGACCAGGGCCCAGAGAGGUGAUGUGCCUGGCCUCAGGACACACAGUCCAGGAUAGGAAGGGAAAGAAAGCCUCUUGAUUACUUACCUGAAGAGCAGACAAAAUGUUUACAGCCUUGUUCUGCCUUCUGUGGAGACAAGAGGAGAGGUCAGACUAUCUCUCGGUCCCUCCCACUGGAACAUCUUCAAUCCACAUCGAACCCACCUUUCUCCUCUUGGCAUCUGAACCUCCCUCCCUCAGGCGUAUCUUCCCCCAAGGAGACUGGCUGGGGCAAGGGGGCAGGUGUCAAUCUUGAGGGACUCUCAUGGGUUGGCACCCCUUUGCCAGAGGGAAUCCUGAUAUGUAUAGCCUAUUCUGAAAUUAUUUUCUGUUUAGAAAGAUUGUACUUAUUUAAGAUUUUAUUUAUGCAUAUUCAGAGGGCAGAAGACAGCAUCAGAUGCCCUGGAGCUGGAGUUAGAGGUGAGACACCAACUUGGAUGCUGAGAGCGAGGCUCUGAAAGAGCCUCAAGUGUUCCUAACUGCUUAGGUAUCUCUCCCAAUAUUUAUUUCUUUUUAAAUUAUAUGCACAUGGGUGUAAUUGCUCUUGGAGAUCAUAGAGGGCGUCAAAAUCCCCUGGAACUGGAGUUACAGGUAAUUGUAAGCCACCAUGUGAUUGCUGGGAUCUGA